rnacentral:SRP_RNA from 1 species
GUCAGGCAUGAGAGCACAUGCCAAUAAUCCCUGCUACCAGAGAUGCUGAGACUGGAGGAUUUCUUGAGCUCAGGAGUUCUGAGAUGCAGUGAGCUAUACCAAUUAGGUGUCAGCAUUAAGUUCAGCUUCUAUGUGGUGAGCCAUCAGGAGUGGGGGCCAUUAGAUUGCCUAGGGAGGAGCAAGCCAGCCUAGAUCAGAAAAAGAAUUGGCCAAAGGUCCUGUGCUAAUUAGUGGUGGGAUCAGACCCACGAGUAACCCCUGCACUUCCAGUCUGGGCAAGAUGGGGAGACCCAGUCUUU